rnacentral:rRNA from 1 species
AUUGAACGCUGGCGGCAUGCCUUACACAUGCAAGUCGAACGGCCGCACGGGAGCAAUCCUGGUGGCGAGUGGCGAACGGGUGAGUAAAGUAUCGGAACGUGCCCAGUCGUGGGGGAUAACGUAGCGAAAGUUACGCUAAUACCGCAUACGAUCUAUGGAUGAAAGCGGGGGGUCGCAAGACCUCGCGCGAUUGGAGCGGCCGAUAUCAGACUAGGUAGUUGGUGGGGUAAAGGCUCACCAAGCCGACGAUCUGUAGCUGGUCUGAGAGGACGACCAGCCACACUGGGACUGAGGCACGGCCCAGACUCCUACGGGAGGCAGCAGUGGGGAAUUUUGGACAAGGGGCGAAAGCCUGAUCCAGCCAUGCCGCGUGCAGGAUGAAGGCCUUCGGGUUGUAAACUGCUUUUGUACGGAACGAAAAGGUUUGGCCUAAUAAGCUGAGCUCAUGACGGUACCGUAAGAAUAAGCACCGGCUAACUACGUGCCAGCCGCCGCAGUAACAC